GAAAGAGCACACGCAGGGGGAGUAGUAGAGAGAGAAACAGACUCCCCACUGAGCAGGGAGCCUAAUGCGAGACUCAAUCCCAGGAUCCUGGGAUCAUGACUGGAGUCAAAGGCAGAUGCUUAACCAACUGAACCACCCAGUAGGUCGUGACAUCUGCCUGAAGUACCCUUAAAAGAAUAUGAUAAGUGGGUGCUUGCUUCCUUCUACUACUGAGAUGGAAAGAAGAGCUUGACAGACUUUCUCGGAACAUGCCAGUAGGGCAGACUUUAUCUCAUUAGGAUUCCUAAAGACCAAAG
rnacentral:lncRNA from 1 species